GGAAUUUACACAGUAGUUGAUCUUAACCAACUUAUUGCAGUCGGAUGCAAACUUUACUGUCGUAACAUAUUUUUUUGUGCCUUCUAGGUUAUGUUUUAAUCAUUGUUUUAUUUAUACGUAUAUGAAAGUCGUUUGACGUCGUCGGCCACUGAGCGUUCAUCAUUUUAAGCGAGCGUUUAAAUAUCCACUUUGAUGUAUAUUUUUGGCACCAAACCCGUCACCGUAAAUGCGACACAUCUGAGAUGACAUCACGGGCGGAUUGCGUACUUUUCGCAACGCGCUUAGCGGUACUUUCGCAGCCACCACCCCAAAUAUAUACAUGCAUAUUUUUAUAAAAACAAAUAAGCUACCGAAAA